UGAGGAAUAUUGGUCAAUGGUCGCGAGACUGAACCAGCCAAGUAGCGUGCAGGAUGACGGCCCUCUGGGUUGUAAACUGCUUUUAGUUGGGAAUAAAAGGCGGUACGUGUACCGCGUAUUGUAUGUACCAUCAGAAAAAGGACCGGCUAAUUCCGUGCCAGCAGCCGCGGUAAUACGGAAGGUCCAGGCGUUAUCCGGAUUUAUUGGGUUUAAAGGGUGCGCAGGCGGCGUGCCAAGUCAGCGGCCAAAAGUUCCGGGCUCAACCCGGUGAUGCCGUUGAAACUGGUGUGCUUGAGUGCGUGCGAGGGAGGCGGAAUGCGUUGUGUAGCGGUGAAAUGCAUAGAUAUGACGCAGAACUCCGAUUGCGAAGGCAGCUUUCCAGCACGCCACUGACGCUGAGGCACGAAAGCGUGGGGAUCGAACAGGAUUAGAUACCCUGGUAGU
rnacentral:rRNA from 1 species